AGUGGCAGACGGGUGAGUAAUGUAUAGGAAUCUACCUAGUAGUACGGAAUAAUUGUUGGAAACGGCAACUAAUACCGUAUACGCCCUACGGGGGAAAAAUUUAUUGCUAUUAGAUGAGCCUAUAUUAGAUUAGUUAGUUGGUGAGGUAAAGGCUUACCAAGACAAUGAUCUAUAGCUGAUCUGAGAGGAUGAUCAGCCACACUGGAACUGAGAUACGGUCCAGACUCCUACGGGAGGCAGCGGUGGGGAAUAUUGGACAAUGGGCGAAAGCCUGAUCCAGCCAUGCCGCAUGAGUGAAGAAGGCCUUCGGGUUGUAAAGCUCUUUUAGUGAGGAAGAUAAUGACGGUACUCACAGAAGAAGUCCUGGCUAACUCCGUGCCAGCAGCCGCGGUAAUACGGAGAGGGCUAGCGUUAUUCGGAAUCAUUGGGCGUAAAGGGCGCGUAGGCGGGUUAGUAAGUUAAAAGUGAAAUCCCAAGGCUCAACCUUGGAACUGCUUUUAAAACUGCUAGUCUAGAGAUUGAAAGAGGAUAGAGGAAUUCCUAGUGUAGAGAUGAAAUUCGUAAAUAUUAGGAGGAACACCAGUGGCGAANGCGUCUAUCUGGUUCAAAUCUGACGCUGANGCGCGAAGGCGUGGGGAGCAAACA
rnacentral:rRNA from 2 species